rnacentral:lncRNA from 1 species
AUGGGGCUGAGAACCUCAAUCUUUUUCUCAACAGAGAGACAUUUGUGCACAUCUGGAAAUAUAAAGCUACAUUUAAACACUAGGAAACUGAAUAGUAUAAAAAGACCUGGGUGUCUGCUACCUAACAAAAUAGGAAAAGAAAAAGAGAUGACUAAGACAAAGGAAUGUAACUGCUUCUUUAACUCUCUUACUCCUUCACACUUGCGGAAGAGAGAACUGUGCAGAACAACAGAGAGAGGGUGACUGGAGAACUGAAAGGAGAAUUUUUGCCUAAACAAGAGUAGCUGAAGGAAAAAACCUUUGGAUCAGUAAUUUUUAUUCUGAUAAAGUUCCUUCAGAGUUAGUAAAUUGUGAGGUUUACUUUUUUGACUGAUGUUUUAAGUGAAAUCUCAGGAUUAAAAUCAGCCAUUAAAGAGAAACCUGCCUUUAUGAAUCUUUAAUUAUGAAAAAUUAUAUCAACCUUUUCACUUCUACAUUGAAACUCUUAAACUGAGUUUACAAUUGAAUGUAAUUUAGAAUGCACUGUAAUAUUAAGAAAUCUUAAA